AACGCUAGCUACAGGCUUAACACAUGCAAGUCGAGGGGCAGCAUGACGGUAGCUUGCUACUGUUGAUGGCGACCGGCGCACGGGUGAGUAACGCGUAUCCAACCUGCCCAUCACUCUGGGAUAGCCCGUCGAAAGACGGAUUAAUACCGGAUAUAUUGCUUGAGGGCAUCUGAUUGCAAUGAAAGGUUGCGGUGAUGGAUGGGGAUGCGUCUGAUUAGGUUGUUGGCGGGGUAACGGCCCACCAAGCCGACGAUCAGUAGGGGUUCUGAGAGGAAGGUCCCCCACACUGGUACUGAGACACGGACCAGACUCCUACGGGAGGCAGCAGUGAGGAAUAUUGGUCAAUGGGCGGAAGCCUGAACCAGCCAAGUAGCGUGCAGGAUGACGGCCCUAUGGGUUGUAAACUGCUUUUAUACGGGGAUAAAAAAGGGGACGUGUCCUCUCUUGUAGGUACCGUAAGAAAAAGGACCGGCUAAUUCCGUGCCAGCAGCCGCGGUAAUACGGAAGGUCCGGGCGUUAUCCGGAUUUAUUGGGUUUAAAGGGAGCGCAGGCGGUCUGUUAAGCGUGUGGUGAAAUGUAGUGGCUCAACCUCUGCACUGCCACGCGAACUGGCGGACUUGAGUGCACAGAACGUUGGCGGAAUUCGUGGUGUAGCGGUGAAAUGCUUAGAUAUCACGAAGAACUCCGAUUG
rnacentral:rRNA from 1 species